GCGGAAGUCUGUAGAGUGGGCGUGGUUAAAGGUCUGACGAGCGAACAAACUGGUACUCCGAGUGAGAAUAGGCAAAUUGGACUGAAAGUCUGAAGUACUGAUGGCCUAUUCCCGGAAGGAGCUGUAAGUCUGCACCGUGUGAAAUCCUGUGGUGCAAACCUGGAUAUAGAAGACAGAAGUUAGGGUCUAGCGGGACCUGAAAACUAACCUCAUCAGAUUCUGCGCGAGGCAUCCUGAGAGAGUCAGCAGACAGCCGCUUAGCGGGAGAAUCGCAUUUGCUGGCCCUGGAACCUCCCAGGUCAGAGGAGCUGGGGGACUGGAAAACAAGGGUCAUGAUUGAAGGCGAUACUUGUCGGACCCGUAGAAUGACAGAGAAAAACUGAGUCGAGUCUACAUAAGCUGGAAAGAGUGAGUCAGAUGGCCACCUAAAGGCUGGCGGGUUACCUUGUCCUGAUUCUCUCUUGAUCCCCGAAAACUCUCCUCAGACACAGUUUCCUGGCUGCCGGCCUGUGAGACUCAGCAGCACAGCAUAGGGAACUUGAGCCUGGGGGCCCUGGAUCCUACAAAGCUGCUUCGCCAGGGGAAAGGACCAGGGUGCAAUCAGUUUUCUCUGCUGUUUAUGAAGAAGCAGACAUUGAAACUCUGCUGUGGAUGUCUUACUGAUGAAUUUUAGAUGACUUAAACUAGACUAGUCCCAAUUAUAUUUUUUUUUCAUCAAUCUUGUGGGUGCCAAAAUGUUCUUCUUAAAAUGCUAGGAAGAUUGUGACCUCUAAGGGGAUAGGAACUCCACAAGAAGACCAACAAAAUCAUCUAACUUGGAAGCUUGGUGCUCUCAGAGACUGAACCACCAACCAAAGAACUUAGACUGUCUGGAUCUAAGUCUCCCUGGUCAUAUGUGCACAUAUGAAGCUUUGUCUUAAUCUGGGUCCCGACCAACUGGAGCAGGGCCUAUGUCAAAAGCUGUUGCCUACAUGUGGAAUAUGUUCAGUGCUGGGGGACCGGGGGAUACCCAGAGGGGCCCCACUCACUCAGAGUAGAAAGGGGGGAAUGGGAAAAGGAUUGUGGGAGUGGGUGGGUGACCCAGAGGAGGGCAGUUAGUAAUGUGUAAAGUGAGUAAGGAAAAAAACUAUUAUAUUUGUUAAGGUGAAAAGGACAAAACUGUUGAAAUUUACAUUUUUUUCACAUUAACUCCCCUGUAAUACCCGGGGACUUACUUGGUAAUUGAGCAUCCCAGGAGAGCUUUUAGAUAGUAGUCAUGAAAGGAGUGGCUGCAAAUGUAAGGGAGUCCAAAAGUGUGCACUAGCACAACUGUCCACACUCUUUUAUUUUGUGGUCAUUUGACAGUGUGAACUUGUUCCAGAAGAAGGGGCAAUGCCUGGACCCUGCUCAGAAGGUUUUGUACAGAGACUGCAUGUCACAGAAUUAAAGCGGUCAGAUUUCAGUGAGUGAGGAUACUUUGUUUGCUAUCUCCCUCUGUCCACCUCAGGGUCCUGGGAAAACAACUGUUAUCUAUGUUCCUGUGUAACUGCGUCUUGUAUCUCACAGAAUGAAGUGAAAUCCUCGGAGGAAUGACAAAAAUUUUCAUAAAAUAUUCAAACGUCUUGUGAAUCUCUUUGAGAGGUAUAAGGCUUCUAGUAUGUUUGAUCCAUGAUAAAUUCAGAACCUCACUACUGUAUAGUGCUGUCAUCCCAAUCAUUCAGUUUGGUUUGUCCCCGUCAGUUUUUUACUAACCUGUGAUUGGGUAUGGGCUUCCAGUUAAGGCUAAAUGAAAAUGAAUUCAAAGUAUCUUCAGUAUUGGAGGAUCACUUUUGAAUCCUCUCUAUCUCCUGAGCACUACUGUGUUAGCCAUCCAGAUGCUUUCUGAUGAAUCUCAUGCACAUGUGCAGGGCUCACUGAUCACCCAGACCUGCUCACCUGUGGAGCAAAACAGAAACCUGGAAGGUGGAGAGGGAGGAGACAGUAGCUAAGGAUCCAG
rnacentral:lncRNA from 1 species